UACGGGGGGGGCAAGCGUUGUUCGGAUUUAUUGGGCGUAAAGAGCGUGUAGGCGGCCAGGUAGGUCGGUUGUGAAAACUGGAGGCUCAACCUUCAGAGGUCGACCGAAACCCCCUGGCUAGAGUCCGGAAGAGGCAAGUGGAAUUCCCGGUGUAGCGGUGAAAUGCGCAGAUAUCAGGAAGAACACCUAUGGCGAAGGCAGCUCUCUGGGACGGUACUGACGCUGAGACGCGAAAGCGUGGGGAGCGAACAGG
rnacentral:rRNA from 1 species